rnacentral:rRNA from 1 species
GACGAACGCUGGCGGCGCGCUUAACACAUGCAAGUCGAACGGGUGCCUUCGGGCGCCAGUGGCGAACGGGUGCGUAACACGUGAGUGACCUGCCCCUGUGCGGGGGAUAACCCGGGGAAA